AUCUUUGGCACAGGAGAUGACAAAAACUUCUCUGAUAGGCCUUCAUACCACCCUCUCCAAAACUGUUCAGUUUCUUCAAGUCUUGCUCUAUGCGUGUAACAUUUUUUUGAGUCAUCAUAUUCAAAGUGCUGGGGAUUGAUACACAGGCAGAGUCAAUAUUUCUCAAAGAGCCUGAUUUGAUACUCCAUUCAAUCGCUUUUUCAGGGGUCAAGAAAUGCUGCAUUCUGUUCGAUAGUAUCUUCUGCAUAUGAAUCAAUGAAGCCAUUGCUGUACCCUCAACAACAUCCACAACCACCAAGCCGGCCAAACUUGGAAGUGAUUUCUUUGCAGCAACAUGAACUGCAACUGCACCUCCCAUACUGUGGCCAACAAGCACAAUUGCAGGCGGAGCAUCGCCAUACAUGGUCUUCAAAACAGAAAACACAUCACUGCAUAGCCUCUCAAUAGACAAAUCUACAUCAUUUUGUGUAGAUGUCUUUCCAUGUCCUCUUAGAUCCAUGGCCACUAUCCUAGCUUUCUCCUUAAUUUUGCUUGCUGCCAAUGCAAAUGAGAGCCCAGAAUAACCACCACCAUGCA
rnacentral:misc_RNA from 1 species